rnacentral:rRNA from 1 species
AUGUCUUCCGCCGUCGCCCCUGCCCCUGUCGCCGCCUCUGCCUCAUCCGCACCCACCAUCAAGCUGCUCAUCGACGCGAAGGCCAAGCGCGUGCUGUACGCGGAGGCCGGCAAGGACGCCGUCGACUUCCUCUUCGGCAUCCUCGCGACGCCCGUCGGCACCGUCGCCAAGCUGCUUAGGGCCGCCGGUGACGGGCCCGGGGCGGCCAACAUCUACGCAAGCGCCGAAGGGAUGAAUCCCGCGUACAUGCAGAGCAGCGGCGUGCGGAACGCGCUCCUCAACUCGCACCGGUACACGCUCCUGCAGUGCCCUGUGUCGUACCGACCCCAAUACCCGGCUGUCUCUGCGCCUGCGUUCGCGACGACAGUUUCACGCGGCUGCCAUAGCUGCGGCUCCGUCGUGGCCGGCGGGUUCGUGCAGGGCUUGGUGACGUACACCGUCAUGGACGACCUCACCAUCACACCCAUGUCCAACGUUUCUGUCAUGGCGCUGCUCAGCAAGCUCAACGGAGAAGAGAAGGGUCUCAUACUCGGGGAGAAGUCUGUCAAGAUCGGUCAUCAAGAGGGAUUGGAUAUUCUCAAUUCUUCCCUGCAGUCCAGCACCGUCCUCACCGAUGUAUUCAUGUCCAACAAUAGUGCCGAUGCCUCCAAGAAUAAAAGGGCUCGUACAUCCGGUGGCGAAAUUAGUGUUGUUCAGGAGAAAAAUGAUAAAACCCUGGACUAUUUUUUAUGA